rnacentral:rRNA from 1 species
GACAGAGGGUGCAAGCGUUGUUCGGAAUUACUGGGCGUAAAGGGCGCGUAGGCGGUCCGCUAAGUUUGGCGUGAAAUCCCCUGGCUCAACUGGGGAACGGCGCUGGAUACUGGUGGACUCGAGUACCGGAGAGGAGAGUGGAAUUCCUGGUGUAGCGGUGAAAUGCGUAGAGAUCCGGAGGAACACCGACGGCGCAGGCAGCGCCCUGGCUGUGAUAGCUGACACUGAGGCACGAAAGCUGGGGGAGCAAACAGG